CGGGGGAGUAUUAUUAAAAAGAAAUUGCACGCUCCGUUUCUCAAGGAAGUUAGGUUUGAGUCAAUGUCGUAACCCCCCUGUGUGGGGUAAGCAAAUUAAGAAGAUGCCUCAGAAAACCACGUUUGAUCGGGGGUUGUUUACAUCUCCUUCCCAGUGGGUAUUAAGGAGCAUGUCGAAGGGAGUUCCUGGAAUUUUUGCUGGCUCAGAAAUGGCCCAGCAUUCCCUACUUUACUAAAUGGUGAUCUGGGGGCAGCACCCACGAAGUAAAUCCUGGCGAGAUCGCUGAUGUCUGGGGAAGAUACUUUCUUCCCGUCCUUCCCAUGCCGCUGAGCAGAUAGAAACGAGAACUCCUGCUCCUCUCAGCGCCAUUUCAGCAGAGACACAAAAUGGGCUCAAGAGCCAGGCUCAGGUGCGCGAAUUGGGCACUACGUAGCAGCCGCAGCCUUGCGGGUCUGGGUUAGGCCGGCCGUUGUAGGGCGAUGGAGCUGUGCCAGGAUAGCCUCCUUCGUGUAGACAGUUCAGUUUUCAGAAGGCCUCGCGUUUUGCAGCCUCGGCACAUUCCAGACACCCAGAGAAGUGUAGUGAGCGUUUGGGGUUGGCAAAGAAUGCAGGGAGCACUUCAAGGGCAGGAAGUCUCUAAAGAUGAUUUUUGAACAUUUCUGAAUUUGUUUUUAUUAGGGAGGAGGACUCCAGGGCACUUGGGCUCUAAAGGCGUCGAAUACCACAAAGGCUGCAAGACCAAGAGAAACAGGAAGCUGUUUGAAAUGGCCAGAAAAUCAAGUCUCAGGUCCCCCCCCAGGUAUGUAAAUGUGGAUAUUAUAAAUAUCAGUGUGCAUACAGGCGCGCACACACGUGCUGUACUGUAAAUAACCCCCUCUUAUUGCGCUGCACGCACAAUGCAUUUGGGGAGAACGCUAGAUCAAAAAUGCAUUUAGCUUUUGAGCACAUGUACAGAGAAAUGCUACCGACCAUUUAUCUGCACAAACGUAAACCCCGGUUUUAGGAAAGUCUGAAAUUUUACUAAAACGGAACGUUCUUAGGUGGACCCAAAAGGCAAUCUUUACUCUGGCAAAAUUCCCGUUAAGGCAAACAGAAAUGUCACCUGAAUAAGAAGCUGCUCAUUAUGAAAAUACAAAAUUCAAACUGGAAAUUCAUUUAUAAUACGCACAAGAACCACCACAAUAAAAACAAUAACUACCGCCACUCUGCUUUUUUGAAUAGUAGGUAUAAUACAGAUUUAAAUCUUCCCCUCUGUAUAAAAAUAUUGCAUUUCAGUUUAAAUAUAAUUAACUUUCCUUCAGUUUAUUCCGCCCUCCCACCCUGGUGCUUAAAAUAGUAGAGCAUUCACUAGCACUUAUACUGCUGUUAUGCUUUCUGCCAGUACGAUUUUACUAAAACAGUGACUCGCCUGUGUAUGUGUGUUUCGUUUUAAGGGAUUUAAAAUACAAUUUUAACUUAGUCCAGUGGCCAUGAAAACACUAAAAUUUCUAUUGACCUUAUAACCAUACUAGAAAGCUCGCUGCUUUUAAAGUUAGUUUUUUAUGUUGAAAUUUAAAUGCUGAAACAUAGUGCACAAAAGUGCAGCAAAUUAAAUGAUGCAGCACCAUUUCUACUGAAGGAAUAUUAUCAAAUGCACAAAUAAUCUCUUUUCAGUAAAAUGUUGAUGAUGUAAUCAAAAUUGUCUUUGCAUCUCUUACAAAAUAGCUUUUCAGGUAAUUCCAAUUUUGUUUUGUGCGAGAAUAUACAUAAACGUUUGCUAAAUACAUAAAUAACUGAACCUAAGUAGAAAUCAAGAUUGAGAACGUACUUUAGUUUCUAGUACUCCUGAAGGAGAUUGAAAUUUUUAAUGUCUGCAUUUCACUAUAUAUGACAUAAAUAACUCACUCUAAUGCAUACCCCCUUUUUUUCCUGCAUGAUCUAAUGCUUCUACGCAUAUAUCGUUUAGUUAAUGUAUUUGGUCUCGGACGAAAAUAUUAUAUCACUACUCCCAGUAGUUAGAUUUAAAAUGAAAGGGCACCCUUUCCGAAAAUGAUAUUUCGGCAUAGAUAUAACAAUUGUUGAAAUUCGAGAAUUUAAAGCACUUGGUGGGUUUGAGUCAUCAUGUCACAAUUAUAGUUACAGAUAAAAACAACAGGUUAUUAAAACUAAAACUGCUUUCAGAGGAGAUCGUCGUGUUUGUAAAGACUUUCGGUUUUCUCGUUAAGUGAGAUAAACUAGUUUUCUUCGAUCGUUUCAUAAGUGUGGCUUUGUUAUCUACUCCUUCGGACUGUCCUCCCUCAUGUAGAUCACCCCCAUAGAACUCAAUGGGGGCUUUGUAUGAGUAGGGGUGCAGGAUCGGGCCCUGAAAACGACCAAGAAAUACUAGAGGAUCAAUAUUAAAUCGGGCAUAUAUUUAUAUCUUUGUCUAGAACAAGCCAGCUGAAGCAUGCAUGUCCUUUUAGCAUGUUAAUAAUAUCUGAUGUUUAUCUGAGGAGUCAGAUUUAGUGUUUUGUGACUUUACAUACUGUGUUCCUUCUACAUAUUUCUGCGGACACUGAGAUGGUGUAUCGCCAUUUCAGCAUUUUGUUAAUCCUGUGAAAAAAUGGCUAGCGUUUGUAUGCACUGGAUAUAAUUUCUCAUUCCGCUUCGCCUUUUGAUUUUAUCGGCUAUUAUAGUGUCAACUUUACGCUCGCGGCAGAAGGGGUGAUUUUUGGCACAUGUAUGACAAACAACACUCCCUGUGUUAAAAGCAGUCACAAAAUGCGACACAUGCUAACAAAACUAGGUUUAAUUUUUUUAAUCGCCUGCAGCAUGAUUGAGUGCAUGGCGAAUAAAUAGCGAAAAGAACAACCGUGGAAGGGGAUCGGCUGACUUUCUGAAGGACUACAUUGAUGUGUCGCUUUGCCACCCCCACGCUAUGAGCAGUCAGCCCGAGGUGAAAGUAACAACUGACGCUCCUCGCACUUUGGAGCUGCUGUGUGUGAUGAUAGCUGUAUAAUAUCUGCAAGGCUUGUAAAGGGCCCGAGUCUCCGAGGCGCUGCGUUCACUAAAACCAGAGCAUGCUAACCGCUCAGCACCUGCAGUCUUUUUGAUUUGCACCCUUUGUAUUCCCUACCUCCCACCGGGUCUUGAGUCUCCUGCCUGGCUCCCCGUGAACCCCUCUCGCUGGACCCUGUACCUGGAUCGGCGUCCUGCCGUAGGAAUUGACUGCAUUGGGGUCCGCCCUCUGGUCCAGCAGCUCCCUCACCUUCCCCAAAUUCCCUAAGGCAGCGGCGAUGGCCAUGUCGUUGGCCCCAGGCUGGCCCAUGCCUCUUCCUCGCUGCUGGAUCUCACAUCUAUUAGCACCAAUGUCCGGGGCACCCGUCUGGCGCUUCCCCCUUCGGCAAGGUCUCGGGGCUGGGAGGCUCCGGGGCAGCUCCAGCUCGCACAGGUCUCCUAAGCCAUCAGAGCGCGGCGCGGCCGCUCCGUUGAUCGCCUCUCCUCCGAGAACCCCGAGGGGCAGCGGCGCUUCCUUGGGGGGAGGUGGGGAGGGAGGCAGCCGCUCCAACGGUGCCCACCACCGGGCAGGCGGGUCUGAUCUGAGCAACUCCCCGGGCUUUCUUCCUGCUCUCUCCCGCUUUGCCCUCCUCUUUCUUCUCCGGCUGCUCCCCGGCCCAGGUUCAGCACCUCCGCGGCGCCGAGCGAGAGGUGAGGUCCCACCGGCUGCCGGGACCCCGCCUCUGCGGCUUAGCUGGAGAAGCCCAGGACUUGUUUGCUUCGUACAGCUGGUGCCCCGCCCCGCCCCGCGCCUGCCCCCUCCCCGGCCCUGCCGCCCGGUACGUGUUCUGACUUGCCCGGCGCCUGCUGUCACGCACCCAGGGAAACAGCGGCCAGGCAGGGAACAGCUGGGGAGCGCGCGGCGUGAGAGCCCGUCCCGGGAGGCGCAUGCGCUCCCGGCUGCCGACUGGCGUUCUGUUGCAGAACGCUGGCAGCCAAAGGUUCUGGGGAAGGAACCUUCGCCUCUCCCUCCCCCCCACGCGCGCCCGCCCCGCUUUUGCAGAGUCAGCGGAGGGCUUGCGGCUCGGGCCGUUGCUGGAGGGCGCUCCCAGGGCCACGGCGCGGGCGCGGGCGCGGGCUGGGCGGCACCCUUGCCCGCCGUCAGCACAGGCCGCUGCUUCCCUGGGCCGCGGCCCUGAUCUCGCCCGCCAGCCCCACGCGCAGCAGGGAGGGGCUGGGGAAAAAAAACGACCCAACAAACCCCCGAGCCUUCAUUCGGCCUUGGCAGUGGCCGGUGAAGAGCGAGGCUGCUGCUGACGGGCAGAGUGACCCUGCCGCAAGCCGCCGCCUCUCCUGGUGCCUCAGUGGCCUCAUCUAGAAAGUGGGGCCAGUCCUUCCGCAGCCUCCCAGGGGACGUGACAGCCAGUCCCCGGGCGGUUGUAAAAGGCUUUGAAAGCCUCAGGUGACAGGAUCUGCAAAUCGUAAGCUCAACAACAGAAGUCUUACCGUGGCUUUUAGAUGGCAUCUACAUUUUAAGAGGGGGGAACAUUGAAAGAGGAAGGAGGAAGUACAGACUCCAGAGAUUAAAAAAAGAAAACAGUCAAUAAGCAAAAAAAAGGUGCAAACUUCCAGCUGACCACAGUCUGCUUCCCCACUGCAGCAUUCCUUCUAGAAGUCUGCAAGCUCCUCAGCACCAUAGAAACAAAGCCCCAUGGACUUUUCUACAAGCUGCACCUAAUAUUUGGGGUAAGAGACCCUGGUUUCUGUGAUGCCACCAUGCAGUGAGCCUGAAAUUCUGGAACAGAUUCAGGUCCAAACCUUGACCAGGUACCGGAUCGCAAAGACAUUGCCAUGUCUGAGUUCAAUAGAAAGAUGCCUGACAUCUGCAUAUUGAUGACACUGUGGCCCAACAGGCUUCACUGUUUCCCUGAGCAACCCUAUAUAUGUGCUGGGCAGCCUGUGAGACAGAACAGACCCCUGAAGAAGCCUGCCCAAAAGAGCCCCCAGGUGAAAUCCUGACCCCAUUGAAGUUAAUGGGAGUCUUGUCAUUGACUUUGAUGGGACUAUGAUUUCACUCCCGAUGUGCACUAUAGCAAAGAGAACCUCAGUUUUUAAGGUCUCCUUUGAUAACCAUGCACAUAGUAAAGUGUGUGACGUUCACUGUGUUUACUUUGGAAGGAUCAGGGGCUGAGUCAGUUCUAUUGGGAUUCAUACUUGUGGUUCCAUGGAUGACUGUUAUUUGAUUAUAUAAUGUUUAUGUUGCAGUAAUAUCAAGAUGCCAACCUGAUUGGGGCCCUCUUGUGCUAGAGACUCUAGAAACCUAGUAAAUUGCAGUCCCUGUCCCAAAGAGCAUAUGGUCCAAAUGAUAGACCAGUAACUCCUCUCCCACUGACAUAUAGUCAUCUCAUGCACAACUUGUAAUUAUUAAAGAUAAUGAGAGUCACAUCCUCACAAGGAGACACUAUGGCCCUUGGUGUGCUGACGGUAGUUUUAUAGAUUACAAUAUUGCGCUUCCGACAGUAAUAAAAAAGGAUAUGUGCAGCAAACAGGAUACAAUCUGACAGUUCACAAGAUAGGCAAGGCUCUCUCACCGGAAGGGUUACAGAGAGGUGAAUUUCUCAUUAUUGCUAAAACUUUGUCCAAAAAGUAUUUACAUAUGCUCAGUUUGAGUUUGGCAGGAAGUUUUAAGGCAAAAACAGCAUGCCCUUCCGUCCCUGGUAUAUUUAAAAGCUCUUUCUGUGUGAGUCAUUGGAGUUCUGUGGUUUGUGUAUCCUGAAAGGAGAAAAGACUCUGUGUGAUUAUCAGGCAUUACAAGCAGCUAGCUGUUCUUUUCUUUAAAAAAAACAACUCCUCCUGAUAAGGAAGUUCAUUAUUAGGUAGGAAGUGUUUGCCGGUGGAGUUAUACUUUUUCUAUGUCGCUGUUACUGCCAUUGUGAACAUACACAGACUUAUAUUGCUUUUACUUCUUAGCCUUGUACUUUUCCUGAUGUGUUCCCUUAUUGCAAGAGUAAACCCCCUUCUGGGUGAGCUGAGCCAAAGACAACAUGAUGCAGAGCAUCUGGAACGAUUCUGCACCGACCAACCUACUGCACUGUCAUACAGUGGUACUGUUUGAGCUACUAACGUGGCUCAGACUGCUUUCUACUAUCUGAAAUUCAGUGACAGAAAGAGGGAUGUCAUUCUUCAACAAAUGCCCAUGACUGCAACAAUGACUUCUCAACCGCUAUGCCUUAAAAAUUCUUCAAAGAGCAUUGAAUUCACAAUAGCACUUUCUCAUAAUGGCUCUUGCAUAGUGUGUUCUGCAUCACUGUCUGACAUAUUCUCUUUGAGUCAGGUCUAUAGCCCUAUGAAGACCAUAACAGGCAAAGGUCCUGUUACCUGAGUUUUAUCUUAGUAAACCAAUGCAAUGUGAAUGGCAUAAUUAAAACUGAGUUUUAUUCACUCACUUGCAUUGAUGUCCAGUGGUGGACAGAGCCCCAGAUGGAAAUCCUCAUAUUAUUCAGAGAAGAAUUUAUUUGUAAAAAACCAUUAGCAGAAACAUCUCACUAAGGAGGUAGCUCUCUCAUCUAGCAAGAAUUACCUGGGUUUUUAUGACUUACAUGGCCUAUUGUGGUGUUUAGAUGUUGCUUGUAAUUAUUAAAAUUGGGAGCACUGGCUGUUGGGAGUCUGAAAGGACAGGAA